rnacentral:lncRNA from 1 species
AAAGGAAAGGAGGAGGAAGAAGAAAAAAAAAAUAAUAUAAAUUUUAUCAAAAUAGUACAACUUUCAUCUAAAGAGUGUAAUUCUUAUUCCAAAGAAUAUAAUUUUUACCUCAAAUAUGUAAUUUUUAUUUAAAAUAAUACCAAUAUUUUUAAAAAAUAGUAUAAUUUUAUUUUAAUAGUGCAAUUUUAUUUUCUUAUUCUUUUUUUAUAAUUUUUAAUCUUUUCUGUAGAAAAAAAUAUUUUUUAUUUUUAUUUUUUAUUAUUCUCAUUUUUUUGUCUCUACAAUUUUUUGAUCAAGAUCUUUUUCUUGCCCUCUAUCGCGGUCACCGUCAUCGUCGGAGUGUAACUAUUUUUCUCCUUCCCU